UAUUUACAAGCGUCCUCAGCUGCCUACAC
rnacentral:piRNA from 1 species